rnacentral:rRNA from 1 species
GGCACCUACGGGGGGCAGCAGUGGGGAAUAUUGCACAAUGGGGGAAACCCUGAUGCAGCAACGCCGCGUGAGUGAAGAAGGUUUUCGGAUUGUAAAGCUCUGUUAGCAGGGAAGAGGAAGGACGGUACCUGCAGAGGAAGCCACGGCUAACUAAGUGCCAGCAGCCGCGGUAAUACGUAGGUGGCACGCGUUGUUCGGAAUAGCUGGGCGUAUAGGAUGCGUAGGCGGUUA